UUUUUUUAUUUGAUUCUGCGCACUUUUUUUUGCUGGCCAACUAAAUGUUGGUCACUUUCCGUGUGGUUUAUAUUCCAUCCAGUGUUUUAUUUUGAAACAACGAUGUUGAAAAACUUUGAACCAUCUGAAAUGGUAUUGGCUCAACAUAUGUUAUGGUCUUUGUUUAUCAUGUAUGAUAUCAUCAUUUUCAUGAUAUACAAGAAUAAAGUCACAUGACAUGAUUGGUAUAUAAAUAAAUGAUUCCGAUUAAAUGGUACGACGAUCGAUGAUCAAUUGUGUUGAGAUUGAAAUUUUUUUAGAUAUAAAAAAGAGUGAAAUCUAAAUCUAAACAAUGAUUAUCCAUGAUGGCUAAUAUUAUAAACAUUGAAAUUGUGAUUAUCUUGAUUUUUCAAUCGGUAUUUGGAAUGUCGAAUCGCGAUUUGGUUGCCAUAACUUGAAGCAAUCGUUGAACAUUUUUUUUGUUGCUCAAAAAAUAAAACAAAAUUAUGCAUUUAUAAAAAUGGAUUUAUUCAAAAAACCAUAAGAUCAGCCGAUAUUGAUUGUUCCAGAAAACUAUAGACGACAAUGUCCUUUUUUUUGAUAGAUUGACAAUGGAUUGGAAAUCAAUGGCGUUAUUGCUGCACCAAAUAACAUUUUAUCUGUUUAUGAAUUCAAAUUUUGUUUUUCAAUAAAUCAAACCAUUUAUCUUA